AGAGUUUGAUCCUGGCUCAGAUUGAACGCUGGCGGUAUGCUUUACACAUGCAAGUCGAACGGCAGCAUGGGUGCUUGCACCUGAUGGCGAGUGGCGAACGGGUGAGUAAUGUAUCGGAACGUGUCCGGAAGUGGGGGAUAACACAUCGAAAGAUGUGCUAAUACCGCAUAUGCCCUGAGGGGGAAAGGUGGGGAUCGCAAGACCUAUCGCUUUCGGAGUGGCCGGUAUCGGAUUAGCUAGUUGGUGGGGUAAAGGCCCACCAAGGCGACGAUCCGUAGCUGGUCUGAGAGGACGACCAGCCACACUGGGACUGAGACGCGGCCCAGACUCCUACGGGAGGCAGCAGUGGGGAAUUUUGGACAAUGGGGGCAACCCUGAUCCAGCCAUACCGCGUGAGUGAAGAAGGCCUUCGGGUUGUAAAGCUCUUUCGGCAGGAAAGAAAUCGCCAUCUCUAACAUAGGUGGUGGAUGACGGUACCUGAAGAAGAAGCACCGGCUAACUACGUGCCAGCAGCCGCGGUAAUACGUAGGGUGCGAGCGUUAAUCGGAAUUACUGGGCGUAAAGCGUGCGCAGGCGGCUUUUUAAGCCAGAUGUGAAACCCCCGGGCUUAACCUGGGAACUGCAUUUGGAACUGGAAGGCUAGAGUGUAGCAGAGGGGGGUAGAAUUCCACGUGUAGCAGUGAAAUGCGUAGAGAUGUGGAGGAAUACCGAUGGCGAAGGCAGCCCCCUGGGUUAACACUGACGCUCAUGCACGAAAGCGUGGGGAGCAAACAGGAUUAGAUACCCUGGUAGUCCACGCCCUAAACGAUGUCAACUAGGUGUUGGGGAAGGAGACUUCUUUAGUACCGCAGCUAACGCGUGAAGUUGACCGCCUGGGGAGUACGGUCGCAAGAUUAAAACUCAAAGGAAUUGACGG
rnacentral:rRNA from 1 species